GCCCGCCGCGGGAGCCGCCGCGGGGCGGGGCGCUGCGGCUCUGAGUGACAGCAACGUGGGCCAAUGGGAGGCAGGGCGCGGACCAAUCAGCGCAGCGCCGGAGGCAAAGAGGGGGGAGGAACAAAACCUUCAGCUACGGAGCAAACUUGUCUGGAACCCAAGUGAGAUUUGGGGUCUGACGGCCGCCUCGCACGUGACAGCUGGGUGCGGAGCUGGGCUGCCUGCUGGCUCUGGGAAGAAAGUUGCACGAACGCUUCUUGUCGGCUUCCAUCUGCAAAGCCAGAUUUUAAGAAAACUUGCGUCGGGCUGCACAACUCAGGCUUCAAACAACAAACCCAGCCAGCUCUUCUUCUUCGGGCUGACGGUUGGACUUGCAUGAUGGAAAGAGAAGUGACCUGAUGCUACCUUUCUGCAAGACCUGCACGCUGUACUUGGAUAGAAAGACCUUAAAAUGCACCCAGGACCUUCAUGAAGCCUUGACACUCAUCAGGUGCAGCGGGCACCCUGUGAAGGCUUCUCAUGCAAAACCACUGCAGGGGAAAGGGAUGUUGUGCUUACAGGAGCUCAGCUCUGAAGAAAAAAGGCAAGCACAGCCUCUAUUCACACACACGGACCUCAGGAGUCAAUAGAAGGAAGAACACUCACAGUUGAUGUGUGAGCUGCCAGCCAGGCUGACAGAACUCUCUCAAGCCCAGCUUGUGCUGUAACCACGUCUGCACUGUAUUGCAGUUCCUAAUGCAGAGCAGUGGCUCUCAGCCCCACUCUGAGCUGACAGGUGUGGCUGGACAGAGGUAGCAGCACUGCAUACAGCAUCGGCUGGAUGGCCCACGUCCCCAGGGCUGGUGUCCUUGUGCCUUGCUAGCAGUGACAGAUGAGGAUGUGCAACCUCCCCAUCAUGCUGACAGGGAGAAGUUCUCUUCAUAUCUAAAGCAGUCUUCAACCACGACGAUGUCUCUCCUGCCUCCUUUCUCAGAGAGGACAGCAGUAACACCAACCAGCUCUAACAUCCCAUGUAAGAGGCAUCCAGGUGCACGGACAAAGCCCAGAUGGAUCCGCUGAGACAUCGGACCUCCUUCUAUCCACCAGCUGAUGGACGCCACCUUGAAAGCAGAAUUAAUUGCUCACACCAACAGACUGCUCAAUCCACCACUGCACCUCCAAGUGACCAUAGAACUACAAUGAAAAUUCAUGCCUUUGACAUGAAACAUAUCCAGACGAAGGAGACAGCCCUGGCACUUCUCCUUCCACCCAUCUCCACCCAUCACCUUGCUGCAUCGCAGCACUGCUCCCAGAGAUGCUCCCAAGGUCACUGCUAAGUGCAGUAAAAAUCGGGGGGGGGAAUUUCCCUACAGCAGCUUCGGAAUUAAGUCCUUUUAUCUUCCUAUUAAAAUGCUUCUCACAGAGAGCAAGGCAACAAAGGGCAAAUGCAGGGCACAUGCGGCACACAGCACCUGGGGGCCAGCCCUGCUUGCAGAAUGGCUUUUCAGAAGGAAAGGGGACAAAUGAAGUGGGAGCAGCAGCUCCUCUCCUGAAUCCAUUUCCGGAUGUGGCAAACCACUCUCUGAGCACUGAGCUCUCCACAAGAACUACAUUCAGACUGCAAAGACUGGCACACAAUUUCACCCAAAAUCUCAUUUUGAGACAAAGACAAUUCUGCUUCUCUCUCACUCCACGUGGCAGUGAUACGACCUCAGUACCAGCGAUGCUCCCAACCCUGUCGCAUAAACCCACCACAGUUCAUCACACACCAGCUCCUCCUUUAUCUGAUGGAGGAGAACAACACUUCUGUCCAAGGUAAACUUUACGCCUGCUCUAGGUCUGAAGCUUUCCUUUUUUCCUUCCACUUCUUUUAUAUCAAAUCUUUUUCUACAUGCCACUGACUGUUCUAAUAGGAGAUGCAUCUAGGAAAGUGCCACCAUGGGGACCAGAAAAAUGGCCCUUCCACAUUGCCUCUUUGCCCCCACGACAAUUAGUGGUAUCUCCCCAGGAGGCUCGGGUUGGAUAUUAGGAAAAAUAUCUUCUCCAAAAGAGCUGUCAGGCACUGGCACAGCUGCCCAGGGAGUUGGGGGGGGGGGGGGGGAAGGGAGAGGGGGGGGUCCACCAUCCCUGGAGGUGUUCCAGAACCGUGGAGAUGUGGCACUGAGGGAUGUGCUCAGUGGGCAUGGUGGGAUGGGUUGGGGUUGGACUUGGGAUCUUAGAGGUCUUUUCCAACCUUAGGGAUCCUAUGAUUUCACGAUUCAGCGCCUUCCACGGGUACAACAUUAACUCUUCAAAGGUUCUUGAAUCCCAGCAGCACGCAUCCAAAGCAUCCACGUUUUCACAGGUAGAGGAACCAGAGCAGAGAUGUUCCAGGACUUCUCAGACAUGUAACAUGACAAAGGCCAGUACUGACAUGACAACCAGACCUUAGAGCCAAGCCCAUUUCCUUCCCAUAAGCUAACCAGGCCUUAGGUGGAUGCACAGUCCAAAAGUGGGCAUGGUGGUGAUGGGCUGACAGUUGGACGUGGUCAUCCUAGAGGUCUUUUCCAACCUUUAAUGAUUCUAUGACUCUACUGACAGAGAACCCCAGGAUUACACUUUGCUCAUUGCCUAAUUUUACCCUUUGGGAUAGCAGGACACUUCUCUUUCCAUGAAACAUUAACAAAGACCUGGCUAUCUACAGAUUUUGACCAAGGUUAUCUGUCAGAGAAUGAAUAACCCAGUUAAGGAGGAUUUAAAAGCCUGACUCCGUAAAGGAAAAUACCUUAAAAAAAAAAUCAUAUAACAAAUCCCUCUCUUGACAGUCUUUGCUCCCAGUGUCAUUUUGCUCAUCAAACCCACACUAUCUCUGUGCAGAAGAACUGGAGCUCAGUUAAGCUUUGUCACAGAGGUAAGGCUGAUCCGAUUGCUGCUAGCAGAACCAGGUCCCCACAUAAAUCAUGAGUUUCCAACACAGGGAACGUGAUCCUUGAUAUUCUGGACAGAUGGAGCCCAUGGCAACCUCCUCCUCCCAGGAGCAAACCAGAUGAAUCAGAGAACGCAGAGCCACCACACGCCAUGCCCUAAACACUGCAUCUUUGCUUCACUGCAUUCCUACAGCAAAAGACAGACCUAGGAGGAGGAAAUAAACCUUUCUUUCUUCUGACACACCACCACAGUGUGUCCUUCCCAUCACCCUGGAGGUGAAGUCCCAGGGAAUGGAGAAUGGUGUUUUGACACUGCCCUGCUGAAACUACUGGUUUUUAUUUUUGGCUAUGGAGAGAAGAAAAGUUUUAGUACCCGGUGGCUGUUGGGAAAAAAAAAAAAAAAGAGAGAAACCAAAGCUGAAUUAAUGAAAAGGAAAGGGGAAUAGCUGUGCACAUGCCAUGAGGGGACUCACGAGAGCAUUAACAGCUGGAAGCUCUCCUGGCAGCCAUGGAAGAGGCACCUAUUUUGCAAGCACAGGGAAGAUGAUGCAGCCAAAAUUAGCACUGGAUGCAAUUUUGUUGUGGCUGGGUUUUCCCUGGGGCAGAUCUUGGAUGUGUCAAACCUUUUGCCCUCGUUCAGAGCAAAGAGGGGACAUCAGCGGCUGUUCCCCACCGUGAUCCAAGAGAGCCAAGGCUUCCAGCUGCCCAGGCAGGACUCUCAGGGAGCACAGUUACCAUUCAGCAAGGGAAGGGAAGGAAAGGACCUUCGGCACAGUGCAGAGCAUCCUCCUCAGAGCCAGCACAGCCAGAGCUGAGGUCCCUGAUCAGAACAGAAGGGAGACAGGGUUAAGCCUCUACCAAAUACACACCCUUCACACCUUCCCCGGAGCGCUCACCU